rnacentral:rRNA from 1 species
GUUGGUGGCUAUACCCGUAGGGUCACACCCGUUCCCAUUCCGAACACGGUCGUUAAGCCUGCGGGGCCGAUGAUACUGCGUCAGCGGGAAAGUAGGUCACUGCCAGCA